rnacentral:pre_miRNA from 1 species
AACUUUUCGAAUCUGUGCUGAGAUUUCGUUAUACACCAACUUGUUAGGGCUGAUCACACUUCUAAGAUAAGUGAAGUU